rnacentral:rRNA from 1 species
UACGAAGGGGGCUAGCGUUGCUCGGAAUUACUGGGCGUAAAGCGCGCGUAGGCGGGCCGUUAAGUCGGGGGUGAAAGCCUGGGGCUCAACCUCAGAAUUGGCUGCGAUACUGGCGGCCUGGAGCAUGAUAGAGGCGAGUGGAAUUCCGAGUGUAGAGGUGAAAUUCGUAGAUAUUCGGAGGAACACCAGUGGCGAAGGCGACUCGCUGGAUCAUUGCUGACGAUGAGGCGCGAAAGCGUGGGUAGCAAACAGG